ACGCCGUUGGUGAAGUGGUUAUCAUGCUUGCCUUCCAGUCAUCUGAAUAUGAUAGCGAGCAAGCGGGCUGGGUUCGAUUCCCAGGCGGCGUA